rnacentral:tRNA from 1 species
CAUACUAGCCAUAGGAAAAGGCGCUUGAUUUAGGCUCAAGAUCAUGCAGGUUCAAAUCCUGCGUAUG